rnacentral:rRNA from 1 species
UACGUAGGGGGCGAGCGUUGUCCGGAAUUACUGGGCGUAAAGAGAGCGUAGGCGGCACUACAAGUCUCAUGUGAAAUACCCGGGCUUAACUUGGGGGUUGCAUGGGAAACUGUAGAGCUUGAGUACAGGAGAGGCAAGCGGAAUUCCUAGUGUAGCGGUGAAAUGCAUAGAUAUUAGGAGGAACACCAGUGGCGAAGGCGGCUUGCUGGACUGAAACUGAUGCUGAGGCUCGAAAGCGUGGGGAGCAAACAGG